rnacentral:rRNA from 1 species
GACAGAGGCCUCGAGCGUUAGGCGGAAUCACUGGGCUUAAAGCGUGUGUAGGCGGACCCCUAAGUGUCUUGUGAAAUCCCACGGCUCACCCGUGGAACCGCUGGGCAUACUGGGGGUCUUGGGCCAUUCAGGGGCAACUGGAACAAGCGGUGGAGCGGUGAAAUGCGUAGAUAUCGCUUGGAACGCCGACGGUGAAAACAAGGUUGCUGGGAAUGUGCCGACGCUGAGACACGAAAGCCAGGGG